rnacentral:rRNA from 1 species
UUCUUUUUGAAAUUAAUAAAAAGUAAAACCUGCCCACUGAAAAUUUGAAGGGCCGCGGUAUUUUGACCGUGCUAAGGUAGCAUAAUCAUUAGUCUCUUAAUUAGGGAAUUGUAUGAAUGGUUAAACCUUUAAAAAUUUUAUUUUUUAUUAAUUUUUAAUUUUUAAUCUAAUUGAAAAUUAUUAGUUUUACUUAAAAGACGAUAAGACCCUUUAGAGCUUUAUAUUUUUAUUUAAUUAAUUUUAUGGGGGAUAAAAUUAGUUAGAUAAAAAUAUUUAGUUGGGGCAACUAUAGAAUAAAUAAAACUUCUUAAUGCAAAGUGUAUCUUAGAAUUUAAAUUAAAAAAGUUACCUAAGGGAUAACAGCGUUAUAAUUAUUGAGAGCCCGAAUCGACAUAAUUGUUUGCGACCUCGAUGUUGAAUUAAAAAUUCUUUUUGGGGCAGUUUUUUUAAAAGAAAGUCUGUUCGACUAUAAAAUUUUU